CCUACGGGUGGCAGCAGUGGGGAAUAUUGCACAAUGGGGGAAACCCUGAUGCAGCGACGCCGCGUGAGUGAAGAAGUAUUUCGGUAUGUAAAGCUCUAUCAGCAGGAACGUGACAAGACGGUCCCUUACUAAGAAGCCCCGGCUAACUACGUGCCAGCAGCCGCGGUCAUACGUAGGGGGCAAGCGUUAUCCGGAAUCACUGGGUGUAAAGGGAGCGUAGACGGGUGAGCAAGCCUGAAGUGAAAGGCUGGGGCCAAACCCCCAGACUGCUUGGGAAACUGUACGGCUGGAGUGCAGGAGAGGUAAGUGGAAUUCCUAGUGUAGCGGUGAAAUGCGUAGAUAUUAGGAGGAACACCAGUGGCGAAGGCGGCUUACUGAACUGUAACUGACGUUGAGGCUCGAAAGCGUGGGGAGCAAACAGGAUUAGAUACCCGAGUAGUC
rnacentral:rRNA from 1 species